rnacentral:rRNA from 1 species
UAGACAGGUGGUGCAUUGGUUGUCGUCAGCUCGUGUCGUGAGAUGUUGGGUUAAGUCCCGCAACGAGCGCAACCCUCGUCCUAUGUUGCCAGCGGGUCAUGCCGGGGACUCAUGGGAGACUGCCGGGGUCAAUUCGGAGGAAGUGGGAUGACGUCAAAUCAUCAUGCCCCUUAUGUCUUGGGCUUCACGCAUGCUACAAUGGCCGGUACAAAGGGCUGCGAUACCGCGAGGUGGAGCGAAUCCCAGAAAGCCGGUCUCAGUUCGGAUUGGGGUCUGCAACUCGACCCCAUGAAGUCGGAGUCGCUAGUAAUCGCAGAUCAGCAACGCUGCGGUGAAUACGUUCCCGGGCCUU